rnacentral:rRNA from 1 species
ACGAUUGACGGAGCGAAGCGACGUCAAAGCGUUCAUUAAAGUCGAGUUGGCUUAGGGAUACGUUCGUUGGGUAGGGGAGCGUUCUGUAAGCCUGCGAAGGUGGCCUGUGAGGGUUGCUGGAGGUAUCAGAAGUGCGAAUGCUGACAUAAGUAACGAUAAAGCGGGUGAAAAGCCCGCUCGCCGGAAGACCAAGGGUUCCUGUCCAACGUUAAUCGGGGCAGGGUGAGUCGACCCCUAAGGCGAGGCCGAAAGGCGUAGUCGAUGGGAAACGGGUUAAUAUUCCCGUACUUGGUGUUACUGCGAAGGGGGGACGGAGAAGGCUAUGUUGGCCGGGCGACGGUUGUCCCGGUUUAAGCGUGUAGGUGUGUGUUCCAGGUAAAUCCGGUUCACUUUAACACUGAGGCGUGACGACGAGGCACUACGGUGCUGAAGCAACAAAUGCCCUGCUUCCAGGAAAAGCCUCUAAGCAUCAGGUAACAUCAAAUCGUACCCCAAACCGACACAGGUGGUCAGGUAGAGAAUACCAAGGCGCUUGAGAGAACUCGGGUGAAGGAACUAGGCAAAAUGGUGCCGUAACU